GAAGAACCUGUUUAUGUAAAUGCAAAGCAGUAUCAUGGCAUUCUAAGGAGAAGACAAUCACGUGCUAAGGCUGAGCUGGAAAAGAAACUUAUAAAAGUUAGAAAGCCUUAUCUUCAUGAAUCUCGUCAUUUACAUGCUAUGAGAAGGGCAAGAGGUUGUGGAGGCCGCUUUGUGAACACUAAGAAGCUUGAUAAUAGUGCUGCUAACACCACACCUGAUAUCGUCAGCAACUUUAGUGAAACUGUUCCAAAACCUCCCACCUGCUCAUCACUGGCUCACUCUUCUAAGGAUUCUCAUCCAUCAUCAGCAGGUAAUGAUGCGGUAAUAGAACCCCAUUUACAUAAAAAGGAACAGACA
rnacentral:misc_RNA from 1 species